UUGGUAAUAAAGGUAAAAAGAUCAUAAGGAACAUACUCAAUUAUUUGUAAAAUAGUAUGCCUUUUGUAUAUAAUGUCUAAUACCUUGAUGAUAUUGGGAUGCCUGAGUGUCGACGCAAAAGUGUACUCUGCAAUGAAAUAACGUACAUACCUGCGCAGUAAUGAGGUAUCUAAUGGAGGACGAAAUACUUUGGCAACGUAAAUUGGCAAUUUGUUUCGAUCAUUAAUGACCCGAAUGAAAGAGCUCGCUCCCUCCCCAAUGACAUUAUUUAACUUUCCAUAAGGUGUAUCAGUUACGGAACAUUCCGGGUUUACAACUCUCUUUCUUGAUCUCGGGUUGAUUCUCUUAAAGAUGCUAGCAUUGCUACCAGUUACUUUGUGUUUCAGCAAUUUUCGAAGAUCAGAAGUAUGAUUGUAGCAAGCAAUAGGCGCCAGAGCGAAGCCGGAGUUCCGUUUUUUUAUAAAAUUGUCGUUUCCGUUCGGAAGGAUAUUAAUUCUGAUCUUCAUCUUAUCAUACAUGCUACUAUAAAAUGAUUUAGACUUCUUUUUAAAGUGAAACUGAGGUGGGAUAUCGUUUGGAUCAGAAGAUGGAUUUUUUCGAUAAAGUCUGCUAUAUGGAUUACCACCAUUUAUGCCAUCAUUAAGGGUAGCAAAUUUCGAUUCUGUGGAAGAUGACUCUUCCGACAUAGAUGUUAAAGUGCUUGAUAGUGAUGAGUGAGUAGUCGAUAAUUCCUGUAAGCUAUGAGCAUGAUCGAGAAGGUAAUCAGAUUUAUCGCUCUCUUCACUCUCAAUGGAGUUGGUAAAUGAAAUCACAAAGUUUUCGGGUAAAGUUGUAGAUGCCGUUAAUAAUAAGCUACUUCGAGAAUAUUUAAU